UCAGAAGGAAAGGGCAAGAAGAUGGUUUUUGACUGCCUAUGUCAACUUGCUCUCCUCUGUUCUGAGCACUGCCAGUUUCCAGAAGGUCUUUCCUCCUAGCCUGGAGUUGCAGCAGAAAACGGCAGUCAGGCCUAGGAAAAUACUGCAAGAGCUGGGAAGAAGUUCAACGAUGGUCUAAUUUCCACCACGGAGCCAGUCUCUUUGCUCAGAGGAGCAGGAAAUCGCUACCUGUCACAGAUGGUGAGAGAAGACAAGGCGAGCAGGAACAAAGUGGAGAGGGAAGUUUGAGUGAGUUUCUGAGCAACCUGUUAGAUUCACAAUUAGGGCAAGAAUACUACUAAUUUGGCAACAUUGCUAAUCAGAAAUUUGACUCCUGUUGAGUGGAAAUGUGUGUGCCUAAGGAAGAGUUAAGUCGCUAUAGGUAACCGAGUCAGUAAGAGUCGUCCCCACGGCAGAGCUGGGCUGAUCUGAAGCAAGUGGAUGCCUACAGUUACUUGCCUUAUAUGAGUAUAGUGUUCUAAGUUUGAUAGUAACAUAUCAUGUUUCUCCAAGAGCAGGCUGUGUCUCGCAAACUUCAUCUAACUAAUUCUCCUGGCAUUCCUGGAAAGCAGAACAUGAAUGGGAAACUGAUCUGUUCUUAUGUAUCUGGCAAAGUUCAUGAUUUCCUAACAGGAAAAUGUGAAUGUCCCUGCAAAAAACUCCAAAAAACAAAAAGUAACGAUACUGCAAAGCUUUGGAUGACCCAUGGCUUUUGGGGUUCGCCUACUGGAAAAGAGAAUAGAGGAAUAAUGUGAAGAAGGCAGUUGGAAAAGCUUCUUCCUACCUCCCUGGACCUCCCAAUACGAGACAGAAAUGAUCUGAAGGUGCAGUGGAUUUUCUCCCUGAAGCUCCUGGCUACAAGGUAGGCAUGGCUCCUUGGGAUAUUGAAAAAUUUAUAUGCUGCCUAUAUGGACACAAAAGCGUGUGUGUGAGGUGUGCUCACUCUAGUUGUCUCAGGACAGCUAGAUCACACUUAAUCAUCUUUCAAGAAUUGACUCAAAAGAAAC
rnacentral:lncRNA from 1 species